rnacentral:rRNA from 1 species
CCUACGGGCGGCAGCAGUGGGGAAUAUUGCACAAUGGGCGCGAGCCUGAUGCAGCCAUGCCGCGUGUGUGAAGAAGGCCUUUGGGUUGUAAAGCACUUUCAGCGGGGAGGAAGGCGGUGAGGUUAAUAACCUCAUCGAUUGACGUUACCCGCAGAAGAAGCACCGGCUAACUCCGUGCCAGCAGCCGCGGUAAUACGGAGGGUGCAAGCGUUAAUCGGAAUUACUGGGCGUAAAGCGCACGCAGGCGGUCUGUCAAGUCGGAUGUGAAAUCCCCGGGCUCAACCUGGGAACUGCAUUCGAAACUGGCAGGCUAGAGUCUUGUAGAGGGGGGUAGAAUUCCAGGUGUAGCGGUGAAAUGCGUAGAGAUCUGGAGGAAUACCGGUGGCGAAGGCGGCCCCCUGGACAAAGACUGACGCUCAGGUGCGAAAGCGUGGGGAGCAAACAGGAUUAGAUACCCGUGUAGUC